rnacentral:sRNA from 2 species
GCACAUGAUUACGAUCAAGGACAUCUGAGUCAAAACCAAAGUCACUGUCUGAACGGAACGACUGUCGAUUGUGUCCCCCGUGUCUGAGCU